rnacentral:lncRNA from 1 species
AGAGUCCCCAGGGGUCCUGGUCAUUCUGGCCCCAGCUCCUUUUCUCUUGCUCUCUUAGGAGAAAAGCUCCCAGGACCCCUGCCCCCUGCCGGGUGAGGAGGAUCAGAAACCAGGACCCUGAGGCCUCAGACCUCCCCUACUCAAAGUUCAGGGGCCCGGAGCCGCCAGGGAGGCUGGGGAGGGAGGGCCUGAGGAGGCCGCGCUGGCAGCUAAAUUUGUUCAUCCGGCCUGUCAGUCCCUUAAUCUGGCCCCUGAGGAACAACGCAGAGGCUUCACUCGAGAUGACAAACGAGGAGGGGAGAGGCCUGCCCUGCCUGGACUCCGGCCCCAGCCAUGACCAUGUAAGCAAGGUGACACCCGGAGGGAGUCCCCACACCCCCUUUUCAUCCUCAGACGGGCUUGUGGCCAGACCUGGGAAUCCUGGCUCAACUUGCGCCAUCAUCUGCUGCUCUGCCCUCCGGCCCCACUCAGUGCUCGUGGUGCUGUCGGCUCCUACACUUUGCUGGCUCCAGGAUUUCCCAGGUGGGCAAAUCUGUGGGGAGGGGGGUGCUGUGGCUUGAGCAGGUAAAGGACGAUUCAGAGAACAAAGAGCAAAGAGAGGCUGCCUUGGAGUUCCCGUCGUGGCGCAGUGGAAAUGAAUCUGACUAGGAACCAUGAGGUUGUGGGUUGGAUCCCUGGCCCCGCUCGGGGGGUUAAGGAUCCGCGUUGCGGUGAGCUGUGGUGUAGGCCGGCAGCUGUAGCUCCGAUUGGACCCCCCUAGCCUGGGAAGCUCCAUACGCCGCAGGUGAGCCCUAAAAUGCGGACGACAAAAAAACCAAACACACACAAAAAAGAGCGGCUGACUUGGGGAAAGGGGGGAGGAGGGAGGGUGGAGAGAUCCUGGCAAGGGCAGGAAGCGCAGGAGAUUCACUCCCUGAACUUCGGAAUGCCAGGCCAGCAGCUGUGCCCUUCUGCUGGGGAGGCGCGAGGGAGGGGACGGGGGCGGGGACGCCAUGGGGCGGUGCUUCCGAAACCGACGCCCACAGGCCAUCCGCUGUG